GGCAGUAUGGUGUAAUGAUUUGAGCACUGAACUAAGACUCUGGAGACCAGGGUUCAAAUCCCUGCUUGGCCA